rnacentral:rRNA from 1 species
AGUGAACGCUGGCGGUAGGCCUAACACAUGCAAGUCGAACGGCAGCACAGUAAGAGCUUGCUCUUACGGGUGGCGAGUGGCGGACGGGUGAGGAAUACAUCGGAAUCUACUUUUUCGUGGGGGAUAACGUAGGGAAACUUACGCUAAUACCGCAUACGACCUACGGGUGAAAGCAGGGGAUCUUCGGACCUUGCGCGAUUGAAUGAGCCGAUGUCGGAUUAGCUAGUUGGCGGGGUAAAGGCCCACCAAGGCGACGAUCCGUAGCUGGUCUGAGAGGAUGAUCAGCCACACUGGAACUGAGACACGGUCCAGACUCCUACGGGAGGCAGCAGUGGGGAAUAUUGGACAAUGGGCGCAAGCCUGAUCCAGCCAUACCGCGUGGGUGAAGAAGGCCCUCGGGUUGUAAAGCCCUUUUAUUGGGAAAGAAAAGCAGCAGGUUAAUACCCCGCUGUUCUGACGGUACCCAAAGAAUAAGCACCGGCUAACUUCGUG